UCUAUGCUGGUAUAUCGGUAGUACACGCGCCCGUCAUCCCUUGGUUCCCAACCCAUCCUCGUGGUUGCGCGAGAGCUGGGUUCGACUCCCAGGCAGAGAGAU